ensembl:snRNA U6 U6 spliceosomal RNA
GUGCUCGCUUCAGCAGCACGUACACUAAAAUUGGAGUGAGACAGAGACGAUUAGCGUGGCCCCCACACAAGGUGACACUCAAAUUUGUGAAGCGUUCCGUAUUUUU